rnacentral:snoRNA from 2 species
CUGCACGGUGCUAACCCCGGGCUUGUCGGAUUAAUACUUCUUGAAGAAGGAAGCCCCAAUGCCUGUGCUAGAUCCACUAUGCCAUUCAGUGUUGCAGGCUAUGACAAAUCUUGUGAUUGGUCUGUGUCAAAGCAAUGGAUACAGUU